UUUUAAAAUUCGGUUUACUCCUUGCAGCUAAUUGUAGCAGUAGUUUCUGUGGUGUAGUGGUUAUCACGUUCGCUUCACACGCGAAAGGUCCCUGGUUCGAAACCGGGCGGAAACAACGCUCAUUGACACAUUCUGAUUUACCGUAGUGGUAACAGAAAAUUUCAUGAAUUUUUUAUUUUGGAAAUUCGAAUACGUGCCAUGAAUAUUUUUAAAAUUCGGUUUACUCCUUGCAGAAAAAUCAAGCAGCAGUUUCUGUAGUGUAGUGGUUAUCACGUUAGCUUUACACGUGAAAGGUCCUCAGUUUGAAACCGGGAGGAAACAGUGCUCUUUGACAUGUGCAGUAGGUACAAUACUAUUAACAGAGAAUAGUUAUUUUCAUAAAUGCCUUAUUUUGGAAAUUCGAAUACGUGCCAUGAAUAUCUGUAAAAUUCGGUUCACUUCUUGCAGGAAAAUCAAGCAGCAGUUUCUGUAGUGUAGUGGUUAUCACGUUCGCUUUACACGCGAAAGGUCCUCGGUUCGAAACUGGGCGGAAACAGUGCUCUUUGACACGUGCAGUAGGUACAAUACUUUUAAAAGAGAAUAGUUAUUUUCAUAAAUGCCUAAAUUUGGAAAUUUCAACACGUGCCAUGAAUAUCUGUAAAAUUCGGUUUACUCCUUGCAGCUGAAUGUAGCAGCAGUGUCUGUAGUGUAGUGGUUAUCACGUUCGCUUUACACGUGAAAGGUCCUCAGUUUGAAACCGGGAGGAAACAGUGCUCUUUGACAUGUGCAGUAGGUACUGUACUAUUAACAGAGAAUAGUUAUUUUCAUAAAUGCCUAAUUUUGGAAAUUUGAACACGUGCCAUGAAUAUCUGUAAAAUUCGGUUUACUCCUUGCAGAUAAUUGUUGAAGCAGUUUCUGUAGUGUAGUGGUUAUCACGUUCGCUUAACACGCGAAAG
rnacentral:tRNA from 1 species